rnacentral:misc_RNA from 1 species
AUCACACGCCACCGAACAACCUAUCUUUUGAUGUAUCAUACGAGAUACAAACACAGGUCCAUAGACCCUAAUACACCUCAACCACACAUUUACAACAUGUAAUAACAAAAAAGAUUAAAAAUUAAGAAAGUGAACGUGACGUAAUAAGAUUCGUCACAGUCCGUCUACCUUUUAACACGUGUUCGUAGCGUCACCUCACAGUCACGUUUCUCUACACUCUACUUCACUUCUCUAUUCUAUUCUGCCCUUUCCCUUUCUCUUUCUCUAUGUGAACUGCAUCGUGAUCAGCAUCCAAACCCACUCAUCUCCUUACACGUGUACUUUUAACAGAAAAAAAUCGCGGGUGCAGGAUUUGGUAUAUAUUUUGGAUCUACCUCCACAAUAAGCAUCUUGGUUCUCGAUUCUCAGCAUCUCUUAUCAGAUCCCAUAACCCAGUUGCCUCAUCUGACGGCUCACCUUCCAUCUCAAUUUCCCUUAUAUACCCAUUAUGUCUCCUCCAUUUUUCAUCCACACAACCUGAAUGCAACACUGCAACCAUUCCGUAACACCCAUCAAAAACAACCAUGAACGUCUUGGAUUCUCCUCUUGAAGCUUUGGCUUUUGAUUAUGUAAGCUUUGGGAUCUUUGCUGUUGUCAAUAAUCUAUGGACGUGGGUCGCUCUUGUCAUGGCAGCUGUCAGCUUCUGGAGGAUCAGAAACGCCGGUGCCGUUGCACUUUCCGGCAAAUCGGAGACACUUUCUUCAGCUACUUGUAUUGACGGGCUCCGGAACGUGAAUGAUUCUAAGCAGGUUCUCGAAACAUCGGUACCCGAGCCAGCUACUCAGGCACUGCCACCACAAACGCCAUCAUCUUCAGGCCCAGCUCCAACUGCAUCGGUUUUUGAAGAUGACGGAGUUACCAGAGGGACGAAGUUUGUAAUGUAUUACGAAAAUGAAAGAGAAAGUGACGGGAACGAAGACGACGAGUUAACGGUGGUUGGAGAUCAGUGGGGAUAUGGAAGUGGAAGUGAUGAUUGCUAUGGUGGUGGGUUGGGAGAGUGGUGGGAGAGAGUGAUAAGGAUGAGAAAGGGGGAUAUGGGAUGGUACAUGUACCAGGAUUUGACGGCGAUAAACGGCAACGUCGUUAGAUUAUGGGAUGGAAAAAACAAGCACUCGUCAAGCUGCGGUGUAUGGUAAAUUGGUAAUGGUAGCCGUUGGUGAUAAUAGAAGCUUAUUAUGAAAUGUAAAUAUAUUAAUUUUGAGUUGCAGAAAUGUUGUACACCAAAACAAUUGCUUAAUGUUGCAUUUUUGCCUAAUUUGCUGUGAUUUGAUUACUGAUUUUGGCCAUUUUACAGCUGCAAAUGUAUGUGCAAGAGAAACCCAUAAGACAUAAUAAUGUGAUAUAUACCAUACAUCUGUUAUCUUAGAUCUACAGUGAAAGAGCAAAGAAAACAUCAGUGUCUUCUUAAGUUUUAGGAUAAUGGUGUCACUAUUUGUAUAAUUUGAUUGCGUGACGAAAGCUUGUGAUGUAACCAAGAGUAGAAGAUUAGUUUCAGACUUUCAGUCCGGCUUAGCUACUGGCAAGUUGUUCUGAA